CGCACCUUGCACCUUUUGGCAUUCCGAAAGGUACAUCUGUUUGAGUGUCAUGAAUCCCUCAACCUCUACAUUUCCUCGCGAUGUGUACGAGCGUUGGAUGUUGAGCGAUGUUGUUCCGCGAACAGCUCGCUUUAAAUUGAUCAGCAAUCUCGAUAGUGCUCGGAUUGACCCGACGUGAUAAGAUCUUCGUUGGGAAAUGCUUUCGUUAGCAGCCGGUUAACUAUAUGAGUCGCUCCUAAAUUGUUCAUGCUUCUGGCAUGGAACAUCCUACCUUUAGACCUCAAAUCAGAUGGGACUACCCGCUGAACUUAA
rnacentral:misc_RNA from 1 species